UCUUUUUAUUGUGUGCCAGCCGCCGCGGUAAUACGUAGGUGGCAAGCGUUGUCCGGAAUUAUUGGGCGUAAAGGGCGCGCAGGCGGCGUCGUAAGUCGGUCUUAAAAGUGCGGGGCUUAACCCCGUGAGGGGACCGAAACUGCGAUGCUAGAGUAUCGGAGAGGAAAGCGGAAUUCCUAGUGUAGCGGUGAAAUGCGUAGAUAUUAGGAGGAACACCAGUGGCGAAAGCGGCUUUCUGGACGACAACUGACGCUGAGGCGCGAAAGCCAGGGGAGCAAACGGG
rnacentral:rRNA from 1 species